GCAAGGUCCUCCGACGUACUGCAACUGCUCAGUAAAGUUCGAAAUGGGGCAAAUCGCGACGGUGUACAGUGACUUGAACAAAUAUUGGCCCUCAAUUAUUCGCAUGGGAGCAGAGGCUUUCUGGAAGCACGAAUGGGACAAGCACGGCACAUGUGCAUUCACUUGCCCUGCGCUUAGCGGACAAAAGAACUACUUUAGCAAGACCGUGGAAUACUUCGGAAAAGUUGGC